rnacentral:misc_RNA from 1 species
UCACCGUAUCAAGCCUGGCUUGUUGUUGGGCCCUUGUCACUUGGUGACAGGUCCGAAAGACAAUGACCGGUGUCGUACAGACUCUAUAUGCAACGAGCUUAUCACAGCACGCAUCUGGCAGUCGUGUGGCCCGGCCCGCACCCUAAUCAAAUUAAUUCUCAA